GUUGGCUCAGAAGCAGCCACUCAUUCAAAGAGUGCGUAAUAGCUCACUGGUCGAGCGUCUUUGCGCGGAGAAUUUAACGGGGCUAAACCUGACACCGAAGCUUAGGCAAUCCAGCAAUGGAUUGGGUAGGGGAGCGUUGUAUACGCGGAGAAACAGUAGCGUAAGCGGCUGUGGAGUGUAUAGAAGUGAGAAUGCCGGAAUGAGUAGCGCGAAUGCAGUGAGAAUCUGCAUGGCCGAAAGCCUCAGGUUUUUGGAGGAAGGUUCGUCCGCUCCAAGUUAGUCGGGAGCUAAGGUGAGGCCGGAAGGCGUAGCCGAUGCACAGACGGUAGAGAUUCCGUCACCACCAAAAGAGUUAAGCACAGGGACACAUUUGAAGUCUCAGAGCCGGGUGUUGGUUCCGGUAGAGAUCGAGGGAAGUUAGUACCGAAGUCUGGGAUGGAAGAUGGCGAGAAAAGCUGUGUGUAUUUCUGAGGUGCCCGUACCGCAAACCGACACAGGUAGGUAGGAAGAAGAUUCUAAGGCCAACGGGAGAAGGGUUGUUAAGGAACUCGGCAAAUUGACCCCGUAACUUCGGGAGAAGGGGUGCUCCAGAGAUGGAGCCGCAGAGAAUCGGCCCAAGCAACUGUUUACCAAAAACACAGGUUUGUGCUAAAUCGAAAGAUGACGUAUACGAGCUGACGCCUGCCCGGUGCUGGAAGGUUAAGAGGAGAUGUGCAAGCAUUGAAUCGAAGCCCCAGUGAACGGCGGCCGUAACUAUAACGGUCCUAAGGUAGCGAAAUUCCUUGUCAGGUAAGUUCUGACCCGCACGAAUGGCGUAACGAUUUGGGCACUGUCUCAACAGCCCGCCCGGCGAAAUUGUAGUACCGGUGAAGAUGCCGGUUACCCGCGACAAGACGGAAAGACCCCAUGGAGCUUUACUGUAGCCUAAUAUUGGGUUUCGAUGUUGCAUGCACAGGAUAGAUGGGACACUGGGAAACAAUCGCUUUGGCGGUUGCGGAGUGGCCGUUGGGAUACCAUCCUUGCGAUAUUGGAAUUCUAACCUGCGGCUCUGAAUCGAGUCGGGGGACAUUGUUAGGUGGGCAGUUUGACUGGGGCGGUCGCCUCCUAAAAAGUAACGGAGGCGUUCAAAGGUUCGCUCAGCUUGAACGGAAAUCAAGCAAAAGAGUGCAAACGCAGAAGCGAGCCUAACUGCGAGACUGACGGGUCGAGCAGUAACGAAAGUUGGAGUUAGUGAUCCGGCGGUAUGUGAGUGGAAAUGCCGUCGCUCAACGGAUAAAAGCUACCCUGGGGAUAACAGGCUGAUCUCCCCCAAGAGUCCACAUCGACGGGGAGGUUUGGCACCUCGAUGUCGGCUCAUCGCAUCCUGGGGCUGUAUUCGGUCCCAAGGGUUUGGCUGUUCGCCAAUUAAAGCGGUACGCGAGCUGGGUUCAGAACGUCGUGAGACAGUUCGGUCCCUAUC
rnacentral:rRNA from 1 species